GAUGAAGAACGCAGCGAAAUGCGAUAAGUAAUGUGAAUUGCAGAAUUCAGUGAAUCAUCGAAUCUUUGAACGCACAUUGCGCCCGCUAGUAUUCUGGCGGGCAUGCCUGUCCGAGCGUCAUUUCAUCCCUCAAGCCCCCGGGCUUGGUGUUGGGGAUCGGCGAGCCUCCGCGCCCGCCGUCCCCUAAAUCUAGUGGCGGUCUCGCUGUAGCUUCCUCUGCGUAGUAGCACACCUCGCACUGGGAAACAGCGCGGCCACGCCGUUAAACCCCCAACUUCUGAACGUUUGACCUCGGAUCAGGUAGGAAUACCCGCUGAACUUAAGCAUAUCAAUAAGCGGAGGA
rnacentral:misc_RNA from 1 species